rnacentral:rRNA from 1 species
AGCGAACGUUUGCGGCGGGCCUAACACAUGCAAGUCGAACGGGCUAGCAAUAGUCAGUGGCGCACGGGUGCGUAACACGUGGGUAAUCAACCCUUCAGCUCGGGAUAACGCCUUGAAAGGGGCGCUAAUACCGGAUACGACGCGAGGAGCUUCGGCUGCUUGCGGGAAAGAUUCGCAAGGAUCUCUGAAGGACGAGCCUGCGGCCCAUCAGCUAGUUGGUGAGGUAAGAGCUCACCAAGGCGAAGACGGGUAGCUGGUCUGAGAGGAUGAUCAGCCACACUGGACCUGAGACACGGUCCAGACUCCUACGGGAGGCAGCAGUGGGGAAUAUUGCGCAAUGGGCGAAAGCCUGACGCAGCCACGCCGCGUGAGCGAUGAAGGCCUCGGUCGUAAGACUCUGCGGGAGAG